rnacentral:sRNA from 1 species
AUAUGCUUGUACUUUCUACACAGAACCAAGUAAAGAGAAGGAGGCCGGAACUACACCAGCAAAAGACUGGACCCUUGUCGAACCUCCUCCUGGGGAGGAACAAGCCAAGCAGAAUGCCAACUCCCAGCUGUCCAUCUUGUUCAUUGAAAAACCUCAAGGAGGAACAGUGAAAGUUGGUGAAGAUAUCACCUUCAUAGCCAAAGUCAAGGCUGAAGAUCUUCUGAGAAAACCCACUAUCAAAUGGUUCAAAGGAAAAUGGAUGGACCUGGCCAGCAAAGCCGGGAAGCACCUUCAGCUGAAGGAAACCUUUGAGAGGCACAGUCGGGUGUACACAUUUGAGAUGCAGAUCAUCAAGGCCAAAGAGAACUUUGCAGGAAAUUACAGAUGCGAGGUCACCUAUAAGGAUAAAUUUGACAGCUGUUCAUUUGAUCUUGAAGUGCACGAAUCUACUGGGACUACUCCAAACAUUGACAUCAGAUCUGCUUUCAAGAGAAGUGGAGAAGGUCAAGAGGAUGCAGGGGAACUUGACUUUAGUGGUCUCCUGAAACGUAGGGAGGUGAAGCAGCAGGAGGAAGAACCCCAG